UUAUUAGUAUAUUCCUGGAGAAAAUUGCGACAGUAUAUAUUGAAGGGCUUCCUGCAAGAAGGUACACACUCAUACGUGGUGCUUAUCUUCAGUUUGGGACGAGGUCCUGGUUCCCUGAGAGGAGCUCACCUAUGUUAAAGAUGACGAUGUGCUGGAGGACUUUGGGACUGAAUUUCUCAGCUCUGCAGUGUCACGACAGAACAUGUCAGCACCAAGGAGCUAAGACUUAGUUUCAUUCAGGAUAUGUGAAAAUAAGAAGUUGUGCCUUAAAGUGAAGACCUGAUACAGACUUCAACAUGACAUGGAUUCCUGCCUGGGCUGCUGGG
rnacentral:lncRNA from 1 species